GAUGAAGAACGUAGCGAAAUGCGAUACUUGGUGUGAAUUGCAGAAUCCCGUGAACCAUCGAGUCUUUGAACGCAAGUUGCGCCCGAAGCCACUAGGCCGAGGGCACGCCUGCCUGGGCGUCACACGCCGUUGCCCCCCCAUCUACUCCUUCGGGAUUGCGGGGGGGCGGAUGAUGGCCUCCCGUGCGCCUAGCCGCGCGGUUGGCAUAAAUACCAAGUCCUCGGCGACGCACGCCACGACAAUCGGUGGUUGCGAAACCUCGGUUGCCCGUCGUGUGCGUUCGUCGCACAUCGAGGGCUCGAAAAAAUGCUCGGCUCCGGCUGGGCUUUCAACGCGACCCCAGGUCAGGCGGGGUUACCCGCUGAAUUUAAGCAUAUCAAUAAGCGGAGGA
rnacentral:misc_RNA from 1 species